GUGCCAGCCGCCGCGGUAACACGUAGGGGGCGAGCGUUGUCCGGAUUUAUUGGGCGUAAAGAGCUCGUAGGCGGCUCAGUAAGUCGGGUGUGAAAACUCUGGGCUCAACCCAGAGACGCCACCCGAUACUGCUGUGGCUUGAGUCCGGUAGGGGAGCGUGGAAUUCCUGGUGUAGCGGUGAAAUGCGCAGAUAUCAGGAGGAACACCAGCGGCGAAGGCGGCGCUCUGGGCCGGAACUGACGCUGAGGAGCGAAAGCGUGGGUAGCAAACAGGAUUAGAUACCCGUGUAGUCC
rnacentral:rRNA from 1 species